rnacentral:rRNA from 1 species
AUUGAACGCUGGCGGCAGGCUUAACACAUGCAAGUCGAGCGGAGCGAGGGUGCUUGCACCUUAGCUUAGCGGCGGACGGGUGAGUAAUGCUUAGGAAUCUGCCUAUUAGUGGGGGACAACAUUCCGAAAGGAAUGCUAAUACCGCAUACGCCCUACGGGGGAAAGCAGGGGAUCUUCGGACCUUGCGCUAAUAGAUGAGCCUAAGUCGGUUUAGCUAGUUGGUGGGGUAAAGGCCUACCAAGGCGACGAUCUGUAGCGGGUCUGAGAGGAUGAUCCGCCACACUGGGACUGAGACACGGCCCAGACUCCUACGGGAGGCAGCAGUGGGGAAUAUUGGACAAUGGGCGGAAGCCUGAUCCAGCCAUGCCGCGUGUGUGAAGAAGGCCUUUUGGUUGUAAAGCACUUUAAGCGAGGAGGAGGCUACUUAGAUUUAUACUCUGGGAUAGUGGACGUUACUCGCAGAAUAAGCACCGGCUAACUCUGUGCCAGCAGCCGCCGUAAUAC